CUGCUGGAGUGCGGGGGGGACCUCCAGCCCCCGGGGGGGUCCCUGCGCCUCCUCUUCCGGGAGUCCGGGUUCAGUUUUGGGAAUUUUGGGAUGGAUUGGUUUCGCCAGAGACCUGGGCAGGGCCUGGAGUGGGUCGCGGGGAUCAGCUACACUGGUGGAGGCACCGGCUACGCAGAUUCAGUCAAGGGCCGGUUCAGGAUCUCCAGGGACAACGGGAAGAGCUCGGUGACGCUGACCAUGAACAACCUCAAGGACGAGGAUUCUGGAUCCUAA